rnacentral:tRNA from 6 species
CCGCCAUAGCUCAGUUGGUAGUAGCGCAUGACUGUUAAUCAUGAUGUCGUAGGUUCGAGUCCUACUGGCGGAG